rnacentral:rRNA from 1 species
CCUACGGGAGGCAGCAGUGGGGAAUAUUGGUCAAUGGGGGGAACCCUGAAGCAGCGACGCCGCGUGGGGGAAGAAGGUUUUCGGAUUGUAAAAUCCUUUUGUCAGAGAAGAAAAUGACGGUAGCUAACGAAUAAGCACCGGCUAACUACGUGACAGCAGCCGCGGUCAUACGGAGGGUGGAAGCGUUACUCGGAAUCAUUUGGCGUAAAGAGCGCGUAGGCGGGAUAGCAAGUCAGGUGUGAAAGCCUAUGGCUUAACCAUAGAACUGCUUUUGAAACUGUUAUACUAGAGUGUGGGAGAGGUAGGUGGAAUUCGUGGUGUAGCGGUGAAAUGCGUAGAGAUCAGGAGGAAUACUCAUUGCGAAGGCGGCCUGCUGGAACCUAACUGACGCUGAGGCGCGAAAGCGUGGGGAGCAAACAGGAUUAGAUACCCCAGUAGUC